UGUCGUGUAUGGCACCGGGUUCAGGUUGACCAGCAAGGCCCUGACCCCAGGUAGAGGCUCGCCAUUGAACUCCGGCGUAUUAAAGCCUGCGACGGACUGUAAUCGGGAUCGCUCAGGUGCAUAGUUUUUGCCAAC
rnacentral:snRNA from 14 species